UCCCUGGAGGUUGAGUGGCUAAGACUCUGUGCUCCCAAUUCAGGGGAUCCAGGUUCAAUCCCUCAUCAGGGAA
rnacentral:tRNA from 1 species